rnacentral:rRNA from 1 species
CCUACGGGAGGCAGCAGUGGGGAAUCUUGCGCAAUGGGCGAAAGCCUGACGUAGCAACGCCGCGUGAGGGACGAAGGUUUUCUGAAUUGUAAACCUCUUUCAGCAGGGAAGAUAAUGACGGUACCUGCAGAAGAAGCACCGGCUAACUACGUGCCAGCAGCCGCGGUGAUACGUAGGGUGCAAGCGUUGUCCGGAUUUAUUGGGCGUAAAGAGCUCGUAGGCGGUUUGGUAAGUCGGUUGUGAAAUCCCCAGGCUCAACCUGGGGCCUGCAUUCGAUACUGCCAUGACUAGAGUUUGGUAGGGGACCACGGAAUUCCUGGUGUAGCGGUGGAAUGCGCAGAUAUCAGGAGGAACACCAGUAGCGAAGGCGGUGGUCUGGGCCAAUACUGACGCUGAGGAGCGAAAGCGUGGGGAGCAAACAGGAUUAGAUACCCUGGUAGUCCACGCCGUAAACGGUGGGCACUAGGUNUGGGGACGUAUACUACGUUACCGUCGCGACGCUACGCAUAGUGCCCGCCGUCGGGAGGUACGGCCGGCCGAGGACGUAAACCGUACAAACGGAAAGUUAGACGGUCGUGAGACGUUGCCGAACGGACGACGACGAGGGGAGGUAGGG